CUUCAGGCUGGCUAGUAGGCGGUGGCUAGGCUAACCAGCUCAAAACUCACGUUCCUCCUCUGGAGUCAUUCUGCUUCAUGGCAGGCAGCCUCGGUCUCUUUGAUGUGAAGAGGCGAAAAUCAAUUCAACAAGAAGGUGAACGGAAGAAGUUGAGUCCUCGUUCCUCAGUGUCAUCUAUGGCUCACUGGAGACAGAGCAGACCGUGACACAGACAGCUCGAUAUUUUGGCACCUAAUGGGGGAGGAUAACGGGAGCGAUGGUAUUAAACUGCGGAGACGAGUGUUGGACACCGCUGAUGUCACCGAGCGCAAGGCCAUGGGAGAAAUGCAGGCCAACGCACCCACUCUGUCGCUGAGGAAUUACGCAAAUCAGGGAGGCGUGUCAGUCACAACGAGCACCUCCACUUUCUGAUGCUUGGCUACGUGACUGAGGGGAAUGAAACACUUCUCGGCUGGUGCUGCUCUGCGCAGACGGUGCUUAGCUUUGUUCUCAGUCAUGCACGUGUGCUUUUAAUCUGUUUUUAUUAACAAAUCCCCAAUUUCUACACUGAUCAUAUCUCAAACGUCUUACUUCAGAUUUCCUCAAUUUGUUUAAACACCCUUCACCAUGGAUAUUUGUUAAAUAAAUUUGCUUAUAUUGAA